rnacentral:rRNA from 1 species
CCUACGGGUGGCAGCAGUGGGGAAUAUUGGACAAUGGGCGAAAGCCUGAUCCAGCCAUGCCGCGUGUGUGAAGAAGGCCUUCGGGUUGUAAAGCACUUUCAGUGGGGAAGAAAGCCUUGGGGCUAAUACCCUCGAGGAAGGACAUCACCCACAGAAGAAGCACCGGCUAACUCCGUGCCAGCAGCCGCGGUAAUACGGAGGGUGCGAGCGUUAAUCGGAAUUACUGGGCGUAAAGCGCGCGUAGGCGGUCUGAUAAGCCGGUUGUGAAAGCCCCGGGCUCAACCUGGGAACGGCAUCCGGACUGUCAGGCUUGAGGGCAGGGGAGGAAGGUAAAAUUCCCGGUGUAGCGGUGAAAUUCGUAGAGAUCGGGAGGAAUACCAGUGGCGAAGGCGGCCUUCUGGACUGACACUGACGCUGAGGUGCCAAAGGGUGGGUAGCAAACCGGAUUAGGUACCCCUGUAGUC